UAGGUGGGAGGCUUUGAAGUGUGGACGCCAGUCUGCAUGGAGCCGACCUUGAAAUACCACCCUUUAAUGUUUGAUGUUCUAACGUGGACCCGUAAUCCGGGUUGCGGACAGUGUCUGGUGGGUAGUUUGACUGGGGCGGUCUCCUCCUAAAGAGUAACGGAGGAGCACGAAGGUUGGCUAAUCCUGGUCGGACAUCAGGAGGUUAGUGCAAUGGCAUAAGCCAGCUUGACUGCGAGCGUGACGGCGCGAGCAGGUGCGAAAGCAGGUCAUAGUGAUCCGGUGGUUCUGAAUGGAAGGGCCAUCGCUCAACGGAUAAAAGGUACUCCGGGGAUAACAGGCUGAUACCGCCCAAGAGUUCAUAUCGACGGCGGUGUUUGGCACCUCGAUGUCGGCUCAUCACAUCCUGGGGCUGAAGUAGGUCCCAAGGGUAUGGCUGUUCGCCAUUUAAAGUGGUACGCGAGCUGGGUUUAGAACGUCGUGAGACAGUUCGGUCCCUAUCUGCCGUGGGCGCUGGAGAACUGAGGGGGGCUGCUCCUAGUACGAGAGGACCGGAGUGGACGCAUCACUGGUGUUCGGGUUGUCAUGCCAAUGGCACUGCCCGGUAGCUAAAUGCGGAAGAGAUAAGUGCUGAAAGCAUCUAAGCACGAAACUUGCCCCGAGAUGAGUUCUCCCUGAGACUUAGAGUCUCC
rnacentral:rRNA from 1 species